GAGUUUGAUCUUGGCUCAGAACGAACGCUGGCGGCAUGCCUAACACAUGCAAGUCGAACGAAGGCUUCGGCCUUAGUGGCGCACGGGUGCGUAACGCGUGGGAAUCUGCCCUUUGCUUCGGAAUAACAGUGGGAAACUACUGCUAAUACCGGAUGAUGUCUUCGGACCAAAGAUUUAUCGGCAAGGGAUGAGCCCGCGUAGGAUUAGGUAGUUGGUGGGGUAAAGGCCUACCAAGCCGACGAUCCUUAGCUGGUCUGAGAGGAUGAUCAGCCACACUGGGACUGAGACACGGCCCAGACUCCUACGGGAGGCAGCAGUGGGGAAUAUUGGACAAUGGGGGGAACCCUGAUCCAGCAAUGCCGCGUGAGUGAUGAAGGCCUUAGGGUUGUAAAGCUCUUUUACCAGGGAUGAUAAUGACAGUACCUGGAGAAUAAGCUCCGGCUAACUCCGUGCCAGCAGCCGCCGUAAC
rnacentral:rRNA from 1 species